rnacentral:rRNA from 1 species
GAUGAACGCUGGCGGCGUGCCUAAUACAUGCAAGUCGAGCGAACAGACGAGGAGCUUGCUCCUCUGCCGUUAGCGGCGGACGGGUGAGUAACACGUGGAUAACCUACCUCUAUGACUGGGAUAACUUCGGGAAACCGGUGCUAAUACCGGAUAAUAUAUUGUACCGCAUGGUUCAAUAGUGAAAGACGCUUUUGCUGUCACUUAUAGAUGGAUCCGCGCCGCAUUAGCUAGUUGGUAAGGUAACGGCUUACCAAGGCAACGAUGCGUAGCCGACCUGAGAGGGUGAUCGGCCACACUGGAACUGAGACACGGUCCAGACUCCUACGGGAGGCAGCAGUAGGGAAUAUUCCGCAAUGGGCGCAAGCUUGACGGAGCAACGCCGCGUGAGUGAUGAAGGUCUUCGGAUCGUAAAACUCUGUUAUUAGGGAAGAACAAAUGUGUAAGUAACUAUGCACGUCUUGACGGUACCUAAUCAGAAAGCCACGGCUAACUACGUG